rfam:Streptomyces sparsogenes DSM 40356 contig00309, whole genome shotgun sequence.
CUUGACCGAGCCCAGCCACAGCGGGCCGCCGUCGGCGCGCCGCCUGCCGUAGGCGGCGAUCAGCGCCUGUGCCUC